rnacentral:rRNA from 1 species
GCGAAAACUUUACAAUGCUGGCAACAGCGAUAAGGGAACCUCGAGUGCCAGGUUACAAAUCUGGCUGUCGAGAUGCCUAAAAAGCAUUUCAUAGCAAGGGCCGGGCAAGACCGGUGCCAGCCGCCGCGGUAACACCGGCGGCCCGAGUGGUAACCGUUAUUAUUGGGUCUAAAGGGUCUGUAGCCGGCCGGAUAAGUCUCUUGAGAAAUCUGGCAGCUUAACUGUCAGGCUUUCAGGAGAUACUGUCUGGCUCGAGGCCGGGAGAGGUGAGAGGUACUUCUGGGGUAGGGGUGAAAUCUUGUAAUCCUUGAAGGACCACCAGUGGCGAAGGCGUCUCACCAGAACGGACCUGACUGCAAGGGACGAAAGCUUGGGGCACGAACC